AUACGUAGGGGGCAAGCGUUAUCCGGAUUUACUGGGUGUAAAGGGAGCGUAGACGGAAGGCCAAGUCUGAUGUGAAAGCCCGCGGCUCAACUGCGGGACUGCAUUGGAAACUGGUCAUCUGGAGUGCAGGAGGGGUAAGCGGAAUUCCUAGUGUAGCGGUGAAAUGCGUAGAUAUUAGGAGGAACACCGGUGGCGAAGGCGGCUUACGGGACUGUAACUGACGUUGAGGCUCGAAAGCGUGGGGAGCAAACAGGAUUAGAUACCCUGGUAGUCCACGCCGUAAACGAUGAUUACUAGGUGUUGGUUGUCAUAGACAAUCGGUGCCGCAGCAAACGCAAUAAGUAAUCCACCUGGGGAGUACGGUCGCAAGAAUGAAACUCAAAUGAAUUGACGGGG
rnacentral:rRNA from 1 species